AAUGGUAGUAGGGUUUAGAAAUCUUAACUGGAAGGGCUGAGUGUGCUAAUCGUGAUGGCUAUUGUCCAUGCUACCUAAGGCUUCCUAUAGUUAGGAUGGCUCUGAUACCAGCUCUGUGGGGACCUCGACUUACGAGUCGAGAUCGUCGAAUGAACGUGCUCAGUGAUCCCAGAGAUCAAUGCUCACCGAACACACAUAUACUGAAUAUUAAGAGUAUUACAUCCAACGUACCGUUUGAUACAACAAAUGAGCAUCAUCGUCAAGUCUCAUAUAGAAAGGGCCUAUAAGGCCAAUUACACCGAUACAUCUACUAGCGGAAAUAUUGGUAAUAAACGGGAGCCCAUGCCAUCAGCCUUCACCAACAUGCAUUCUGACUGGGAAGCAUCCUAGUUCACGUGUCCGUCUCCGAUGACGAAUUCUUCUCCAAACUCCGGUUCCUCCAUGUCUGGUCAAUAAAAUAACCAGUGGCAAGCCAGUGAGUACUUUGAAUGUACUCGCAAACAGCCCAUGAUAUGGAUAAUGUAGUUGGUGUGGUAAUAAAGUAAUAUGCAGACUUUGCGGAAAGCAAAUUUUUCGUAAGGAUGUACAUUGUCAAUUACUUGUAUGGAUAUGCAUCAUAAGCUAGAUGGUAUUCAUAAGUUGUACCCACAUGAUCCGAAAAACAUCCUUAUCACCCACGACUCGUGGUAUAUAUCAUACCCGAGGGAAGUACCCGAUCAUUGCCUUUCCCCUAACGAUUCUAGACAAAGAGUUCACUCGAUUGGUACCCAACCCACAUGAUGUACGUCUUACGAGCACCAACUCUAGACCGUAUCAUCCAUGCGGGGACCAAGGGUGUGCCGUGAACACAUAAAAACGGCAUAGUCGAACUACCUGGUACGACCCCGUCAUGAGAGUGACCACAUAUCACUCCCACCACUAGUAAUGUUGCUCAUUGCUAGCACCGACCAAAGUAAUCAAUAAAGCCCCGUCCCAUAAAGGGGUAUCGUGGUCGUACAUGUAAGGUUGGGACGGUCGACACAUCAUAAAUCUAAUCCCAUUUACGAAACCACUCACACAAAAUAUUUCUUGAUGCACCACUUCUUCACAAGUGGCCACCUAACUCAUCAUCACCCUCAGGCAUUAGUGGCACCCGACGUGGUUUUCGUAAAACCUUUGUUAUCAACUUUGUGUUACCAUCAUCAUGCACAUGCUCUUUCUAUGCAUAGCACUACUAUCUACUUGUCAAUAUGUUAUCAGUGUGACCCUCAUAAAUGAUAGGGUCAUGCUUAAUGCAAGUGGUCCAGAGGAGCUAUCGGAAACACCAUGCCGGGGUGCACCGAUCGUCCUUAACUAUAUGCAUCGGAGUACAAUUACCAAUGUGUCAUGCAUAGAAGUAUUUCUUAGACAUGGUCAAAGAGCCUCUUGCCUUGAUCAACUAUGUUCCGGGGUCUUCGGGGUCUUCGGGUUCAAGUACUUCGUCGAACGCGAAAUCUAUCGUCGCAAUAAUACUAAUAAAAUAAGAACCUCAUUCAAAAACACAGCACAAACUCACUUUAAAAAUGUUAUCCUAUUAUGAUCAAUCUUUAUUAUAGUUUGAAAAACAUUUGUUUCUUGUUUUGAUGCAAAAAGGUAUUUUUAAAACCUAAUUAACAGGGCCUAAAAUAUUUAAACUAGGCAUUUUAAUCAAAGUUAUGUAUAAAAGUUUUGACAAAAAUUGGUAAAAUAGAACUACUAAAUUUUACAUAUUUUUAGAAGAAUUGUGGUGGAAAAAUAUUUAGAUUUGACUAAAUAUUUAAUUUUACAAAAAUCAUUUAGAAUCAACAUAAAAAGAAACGGGGAAACGGGCUUAACCCUGGCCUGGCUCGGCAAGUGGCUGGGCCGGCCCAACUGGCCAACCGACAAACUAGCGAGCCAGCAGCCCAGGUGCGCGUGCACCCUCAUGUUUAAACCUGACGCAUGGGCCCCUGCAGUCAGUGGGAGAGAGAGGAGAGAGGGGGAGAGGCUGGCCACCACAGGUGGGGCAUGCCUGUCGGGGUCGUCUUCCUACUCUAGACAGAAGGGAGUGGGGGCACGCCGGCGGCGAUUCCGACGACCUCGUGGCCACAUGACGGCAGGAACGGCACCGAGGCAUCGCCGCCUACAUGCUGGUGGUCGAAUGAACAACGGGGAAGCCCUAUGUCACCGGCGAUGAGGUGGCCGCGCGAAGGUGCUUCGGGUGGUGGUGGAGUUUGGUGCUACGGACAGGGAAAUGCUCGGGGCAGAGGUGGGGAGGCUUGUUGAGCUCUCUACGCUCACGAAGGAGGUGAGAUGAGCACGAGAGCUGGCCUUUAGCCCGAGAUCAACGGAGCUCCGAAGCGGCGGGGCCUCGGUCGAUCUCGAGCACCAGAGCUCUCUCUGCUCGAAUGGGGUGGCUAGGACCUCCAUUGAGCAUCUCGAGGAGUGGCGUGGGGUGCUGGAGUGAAGGGGGAAGGCCUAUUUAUAGGCCAGCAACAGUACACCACGCGUGGGAGCAUCGGUGCUUUCACCGUGGCUGCAGGAGAGGGAGAGAGGGCUCGGGGUCGAUACCACGGUUUCGCGGACGUGGUUUGAGACCCCACAGACCAAACGAGAGAGAGGAGGCUCAGUGCACGCGUGCUGCGGGGCCGCACUCUUUUGGCGGAACCUGGCGCACGAGGGCACGUGUCACCCUGGUCAGCACAGAUGGGGAGAAGGGGCCCUAGGGCUGCCCUGAGUCAAGAGGUUUGUCGGAGACGCGAAGAGACCCCGAGGGGAGGUGAGAACCGGUCGGGGCUGGCCUCCUUUGCCUCGGGUGUGCCUUGUAGCGUGCCCAGAGCACAGAUUUGGCAUGCCACGGCAUGCUGGCGUGCUCUGGGGUGCUUUGGCCCUGUCUGACGUGUCCGGGGGUUGGCUUAGAUGCCCUUUAGCCGUUUGGGAGCCGAGGGUCUCACUGCUGGUCAAAGGAAGUGCUUGAAGAGGAGCUGUCAGGCUUGAUUCAGAAACUAAAUUGGGGAUUUUGACUCACCUGCUCGGAACCAUAGAGGGGCCACUCGUCUGCAGUUGAGGAGUGGUGCUGGCAGCUUGCACUAAGAGUUUAGUGGAAAGGGAGUGGGUGUAGAGGGUGUUAAGUGUUGUUUGACCAUCCAGGCAGAAGGUGAUUGAUAUGUGUUUGGGGUAGUUAACCUCCACCACUCAUGUUGAAAGUUAACAUGAUUGGGUUUAAUACAAAGUAGGAUGCUCCACCAAAUUUGAGCGCCAUUGGACAAGGUUGACAAUGCAAACUUGAAAUCCCCCAAAUGGGCAGUUCUGUCCUUUAAAAGAGAAUGUGGCUAAAUUAAUACCACAAAUCUAUUUUUUGGCAGGGUCUCUUCAUUUGGGGUGUUGAUCACUCGUGCAAAGCUUUAGGCCAUUUGGACAAACUUUUCUAUGUAGAGUUGCUUCAACUUAAUUCUGGAAACGGAAGGUCAUAGGAAUAUUUGGUGAACCAAAGAACCUUGGAAUAAGGUGAAACUUGGCAUGACCACCAAAUAUAACUUGGGAAGCAUGCUAGAAUUUUCUAGGAAUUUAUUGAAACUGUUUCCUUUGGAAAUAUUUCAAAAGGUCAAAACAGACAGAAUAGGUUUUCAAGGAUUUGCUCAAAUAUUUUGAACAUAAAUAGGGGUUGAAAAUCUUAUUAUGGAAAAUAUAUGUCCUGUGCAUAUCUUCAAUUUUCUCAAGUUUUUCUAAGGCAGAAAAAUAAUUUUCCAUUCAGAAAUAUCAUUUCUCACCUCAGAAAAGGACAUGCAAAUAAAAUAGAAAAUUAUUUUAUAAAAUAAAUAUUUUAUGACUUUGGAAAGUUAUAAUAGUGCCAAAAUCAUAAUACAAUCUUUGGGUGGAGGCACUCCCUUGGAAUCAGGGACUUGAAGUGCAAACCCAUAGCAAGGUUUUGAAAUGGUCAAAAAUGAGAAAAAGGAUCUUUUUGGAAAUCUCACGUUAUAAAAAUAUUAUUUUUGGAUCCACUCACUCAAGCAUACACACAAACAAUGGCAAUCAUGGCACACAAACAAUGGCAAUCAUGGCACUCAUAGCACUUGCUUAAAAAGUUAUAAUAAAUUCAGGUUUUUGAAAAGACUACAAUUGAAGUAAGGUAAAAACGUGUGUGACAAUACUGAAGAGAUGAGUAUAUGGAAAUCGCUUCCACUCUCCACAAGCUACAUCAAGUUCACAUAAAUACAACAAUAUACAAUCAUCAUGAAAAAGAGCAGGGUUCGACUAUGGACGAAAAUAAAUGAUAAAAGAACGACGUCCAUCCUUGCUAUCCUAGGUUGCCGGCGUGGAACCCAUCCUAGAUCGAUGAUGAUGAAGAAGAAGAAACUCCAAAAGCACAAUCAUCGCGCUCACAACAUAAUAUCACAUUACUUGUACUUGCAAUUGGUGUUGUAGUAAUUUGGGAGCCACAGGAACUCAGCAAUUUCAUUUCCAAAGGUAUCGAGACUAACAAAGCUUAAUUGGUGAGGCUGCAGCUAGCGACCAAGCAUUUAUUUGAGGUGGCUAACUUACGAGUACAAAAAUAAGAGGGGGUGAUCUACGCAUAUCGGAAGUGAACUAAUAAUGAUCAAGUGAAUGAUCGUGAACCCUACUUACGUCAGACAUAACCUCACCAUGUACUCGAUCGGAGAAGGAGCUCAAGAAAGAGACAGUCACAGUUACACACUUAGUUGGCAAGUUUUUAAUUAAGUUUACUUCAAGCUAUCUAGAACUGGAUGUUAAACAAAGUUUCCAAGUUUGCCACAUAACCGCGGGCAUGACUUUCCGAAAGAUUUAACCCUGCAAGGGUCCUCCAACUAGUCCAUCACAAACUACCACACGUUACGUCGGAAUGACCUCAAUCAGGGAAAACCUGUGAACUCCUCGGGUUCCUAUUGAAAAACCUCAACCUCAAGAAGUAUCCUCGGAAUCCCAUGCACGAGACGCUCGAGAAAGGUAAAACAGGUCCAGCAAGGCCGACCGCCGUGUCGACGAUCCCGAUAAGAGCUGUGUAUCUCGUUUUCACGACACGACGGAUAAGCACAAUGUACGGUGGCCUGAUAGAAAUCUCCCGAGUUGCCCCGGGUUGACCCUGCAAACGACUCUAGUUUGAACUAACACCAGCAGUACUGGCCCCCGUGUAUUAUGUUGAAUUAUUUCUCGGGUUCAUGACGCCCUAUGCUUUUCAACGGUGUUCAAUUUUAUCAUGUUGGGAAAAUAUAGUAUUAAUGUUGGGCCGUGUCAGGCGAGUUUUAUCCCAAAUUGAAAAUCUAGGGGUCCCCAUAACAACCCCAAGCAUGUUAGGAGCGCUCAUUUAUGGAACAUGACACCGGUAGACGAAACUAAGGGGGCAAAGGUGGAACAAAACACCAAGCUAGAAGGCCAAGGCUUCCACCUUUUACCAAUUAUAUAGGUGCAUUAAAUUAAAUAGCAAUUAUAUGGUGAUAUAACAAGGAACCAUGUCGGCACAUGGAUGCAACUGCACCUUCAACUAGCAACGCUAACAAAAGGUUGAGCAAGCGGUAACAUAGCCAAACAGUGGUUUGCUGGGACGUGGAAAAGGUUUUCAUGGCAAUGUUGGGAGGCAUAUUAAACAGGUGGUAGGCAGCGAGACAUAGCGAAAACGAGACAACUAGCAUGGCAAUGGUAGUAAUGGUAUCUAGAAAAAUGGUCAUCUUGCCUGUGACCUCUUGUAAGAAGAUUGAAUCCAUGAAGCAGACGAACCAACAUAGUCGAACGAAUCCUCACACUCCAAAGCGGUUCGGAACUCUAUCAAGAAGAAACAAACCGGAAACAAGAAUCAACACACGAUAUUCACCACGGCAAAUGCACGCUAUGAUGCACAACCUAAUAUGAUGCAUGUCCAAUUCAACUAUGCAAGGCAUGGCAUGGCAAUUCACAACAAUCAAACACUACACAUUAAGUGAAACUCCGCAUUCGAAUUAUUUAGUUCGCUCCCGUUUAGGUACACGACAAUUUUUUAAAUGUUGUUAGCAUGGCAAGAGAUGAAGGAUGUGAUUCUACAUGUAAUUCUAGUCGGUUUACACAUAGCUCACGUAAAACAGAGCUACCAUUAACUAUCUAUAGGCAGCUAUAGGCAUUGUAAAACAGUGACAAAAUCUGCUAUAAUGCAUGUCUUGAAAUAAAUAAAAGAUCAAAAGAGGGGAAAACAUAUAUGCAUGGGCCCAAUUGCAACUAAGUGAAGCCACCCAGAAUUGAAUCAGGCCCAAGUGGCUCAGUGUACGUCCGUGGAAACAAUAAAAGAGAGGCUUACGUGAUUUGAUCCCUGGACCUGGUGGAUGCCGAACUGCUGUCCUAGCCAACAGAGCUAGUAUCUGAUUAUGAUAUGAGAUGGAACUAUCCUAUUUGAAGUAGCGCUACAGAGCAACAAAAUAAUUCGAAUGCGGAGCAGGGUGCAGAUCAACAAAAACAGAGCAAAACAUAUUACUGGCUGACCUGGGAUUCGAACCCCAGAUCUCGGGGAUGAAACUGAGUGGUGCUAGGCAUCUCUGCUGCACUUGCUUGAGUGAAUUUCACACAGGUUAUUACUUAUAGAACUGAAGAAACGGCGGUUGGAGCNAGGUUUGCCUACGGGGAAUAGGAGGAUACAGUUGAUCCAGGCACGGGCAACCCAUUCCCAGUGACGAGAGGUCUUGGGGAAGCGCGGAUGGGCGACCUCCAUGGACGGCGGAGGCGGGUUCCGAUGUGUUCCUGUCAGGGAAGAAACAAGCAAGAGGGAGAGGAAUUAGAGGAGAGAGGAUAGGGAAGGUGGGGCAUAGGAAGGAUCCUAGCGCAGAGGAGCGACCUGUUCGCUCCAGCGACUCAUCGGCGUCGGGGUUAAGGCGAGGUGCUCCGGCGGCGGUAGCUUCGCCAGGGAGGCUUGUCAACGAGGCGGUCUGGUCCAAUGGAACGGCCGGCACGACAGGUGGGGCAGGCACGAGCGAGCACCAUGGCUUCCAGCUCCCUUGACGCGAGCGAGGCGUGAGCCUUGCAUCCCACCGAGCAAAGAAGCAGGGUGUCGCGGGAGCAGGUGGUUGCACGGGGCUAGAGACGGCUCUCCGGACGAGGUACUCGGUGCCAUGCGCCGCGACUGUGUGAUCGGCCGCGGAUAUGGUUGGCUGGAUGUGUCCGUGGCUGUGGGUUGGCUUGCGCUGGUUGGUCGAGAGGAGAUCCCGAGGGAGAGGGUGGCAGCGGCGCUGCAGGAAUUGAGGGAGUUAGUCUAGG
rnacentral:lncRNA from 1 species